rnacentral:piRNA from 1 species
AACAGCUUGAUAAUGUUAGGAUUGGUAA